AACAGCAACGUUCACGAUGACUGUGUCAAGUACUGACAAUGCUGGACUCAGAGCAGACUGCAGAGAAUCCAUUGUUAAACAUUUGUCAGCACACCCAUGAGUAGAAGUCUCAGUUUUGCUCUCAGAGAGGCAUAAAUUCUGACCGACUCCUGGCUUUGGGAAAGAGGUAUUUAAAAUUCACUAGACUAUAUCGGAGGAAAUGCAGCAUCCACCCCAAUGACUUCUGAUUAUAUGUAAAGAAAGAGAAACAGAGCAAGAGAGAAAAGAGAGAAGAAGAAAAAAGGUAUGACUUACCAAAGAACAUUAAUGUGGAAUUUAACACAAAACACAUUUAUGGCCAUUUUAACUAUAAGCUUGAUUAACCUAAUUUCUAAUUCAAAGCAAAACUAUUAGAACUUUAGUCUAUUCUUAUGCUUAAUGAAAUUAAAAACUUGAUGACUUUGUCUUUUUUCCGUUUUAUUUCUCAUCUACUGUUACUCUCUCAAAACGUCUUUUGCUCAAAUCACCUUAAACAGUCAAUAAACAUUUGUUAGUUGAUAAAUACAGUAUUGAUGGACGAUGGGAGGAAGAAAUACAAAUAGAAUUAAAAUGUCUUACUACUUCCAUAGAAUUUAAAGUUGCCACCUAAUUUAACAUGGGUUGCCACCUUACAUAAGUAGCUAUGGGAAUCCGUGUUCAAAUUCUUUUAAUAAUUGCUAAAUUACAAGUCAAUGGCACGAAAAAAAAAAAAAAAAAAGGCAAGGGACUGUGUUCCAAGUUAACAAGAGUCAAAAACAAUGUAAUAAUUAAAUAUAAUGUGAGAACCUAAUUUGGAUCCUGUUUUAAACCAACCAACUGUAAAAAGACAUUUUUGUGACAAUUGGGACAAUGAGAUUAUAGCCAGGGUGUUACAUGAUACCAAGGAAUUAUUGUCAAUUUGUGAGGUAUGAUAAUGGCACUGUGGUUGUGUAAUAAAACUUCUAUAAUUCUUAUGACGCAUACUGAGUUAGUUUGGAGUGAAAUGGUAUGCUGUCUGAGAUUUGCUGCAAGGCAUUUUAGCAAAGUAAAAAGAGAGGGAAGAUAUAUGCAAUAAAUAAGAUAAAACCCUUAUCAUUGUUGGCGGUACUAGAUAUUACAUAUAUGGAGAUACAUGGUCUAUCUUCCACUUUUGUAUAUGUUUAAAUCCUUUAAAAUAAAAACGUUAAAUAACACAAAAGUAAUGGUUAUUCAAUAUGUAAAAAUACCAAUAAGAUGAGGCGUGUAUAAAUUAAAAUGCAAAAGUCUUCCCUCACCACUGCCCCUAAAUCCUACUCACAGAGGAAACCACUAUUAACAAUUUAGUAUGUAUACCAAUAUGGACAUUUCUAACUGCAUAUAUAUACCCAUAUAUACAUAUCUUUUUUUUCUUUUUUUGUCUUUUUUUUUUUUCAGGGCCGCACUCACAGCAUAUGGAGGUUCAAGGCUAGAGGUCAGAUCAGAGCUGCAGCCGCUGGCCUACGUCACAGCCACAGCACUGCAGGAUCCAAACCAUGUCUACAACCUACACCAUACUUUGUGGCACCGCCAGAUCCUUAACCCACCAAACAAGGCCAGGGAUCAAACCCACAUUCUCAUGGAUACUAUGUCAGGUUGUUAACCCACUGAGCCACAACAGGAACUCUGACCUAAAUUAUUGUUACUAACUGAUGCAGAGAGUUCCAUUGCUUCGAUAUUUUGCAUGGAUGACUUUAUUUUUAUAAUCCCAUAUGGGUGAUUAUUUAGUUUGGUCACAGUUUUUAACUAUUACAAGCAAUAUUACAGGGAACCUUUUGUGCAUGUCUUGUUGUACAUGUGUAUGACUGUGUCAGUAGAGUAAGUUUUAGAAGUAGGACUGAGAGAUGGUCUGAAUUAGUGGGCAAGGGUGUGCACACUGCAAUCAGUAUUCUUGGAGUUGUCAUUGACAAUCUGAGAGAUCUAGGGCACAUUAACUCUCUGAAUGUCAGUGUUUCCUCAAAUAUAGGAUUAAUACUAAUCAUAUUCACUUCAUAACAUUAUUGUGAGGAUAAAUAAUACAUAGUGGUGUUUAGAAUAGCUUUCAAGUCAUUAUAUAUAUAUACACAUAUAUAUAUGUGUAUAUAUAUAUAUAUUCAUCUCUGUCCCAGGUUCCUACUUCUUAUAUAUUUAUAUGUGGUGUUUGAUCACAUUUCUGACACAGAGUUCCUAGGUCCUCUGCAAUUUUGUGGGUAAUAGAAGCAUAUUUUGUUGUCAUGAGGGGACUCUUGGUAGGCUCCUGGAUGGGAAUGAGAUGUUAUUAGAAACUUGGAACUUUCAGUCUCAUUCCCAAUUCUCUGGAGAGGAGAGGAGCUAAAAAUUCCUCUUUUCAAUCUGAUGGAGGAAAAUCAUCUCCUUAUUUCAACUUCUAUUCAUUUAAUUGAGGUCGAGUAUUUGUUUGUAGAUUUCCUGGCCACUUUUACAUUAUUUCUGUGAAAUAUUAAUGUCCUUUACCCAUUUUCCCACUAAAAUGAAACAGUGAUGGCACAUUCCAGAGAGAUGAACAGCAACUUACAAGUUCUGUUCAGACCUGAAUUUCCAGGUAAGACUAUCAUAUGCAGACAUUAGCUUCAACCUGACUUAAGGGAAUCCAGAGGACAUCCAUCCACAACUAUCAGACCAACAUUCUCAGCAAGAAGCUGGACCAAAUCCCAUAAAAGAAAUCAGCUGUUCGAGGGCACUCAGGAGCAACACUUAAAGGGACAAAAUCACAGAGGGAACAGAUGCACACAAAUGUGAACUUGAUAUUCUCCUUCAAUUUGCCUCUUGAGAAAUUUGCCAAUACUCAAGCACCAUGGGGCUUAGUAGAUAAGCAGAGCUUUCAACUUACAAGCUCAGAGCUUGCAGCAUGUUCACAGGAAUGGAAAGAUAAAGUUUGGCUCUUAAGAACCAUCAAGGAUCUUAUUUUAUUUUAUUUUUUCUAUCUUUUUUGGGGUCAUACCCAUGGCACAUGGAAGUUCCCAGACUAGGGGUCAAAUCAGAGCUAUAGCUGCUGGCCUAUGCAACAGCCACAGUACGGAGGAUCCAAGCUGUGUCUGCAACAUAUACCACCACUCAUGGCAAUGUGAGUGCAUCCUUAACCCACUGAGUGAGGCCAGAGAUUGAACCCUUUGUCUUCAUGGAUACUAGUCAGGUUUGUUAACAGCUGAGCCACAACAGGAAAUCCAAGGAUCUCUAUUCUAUUCAUUUCUUCUUUGAUCUUUAUGAUUUCCCUCUGCUGACUUUAGGUUUUGUUUGUUCUUUUUCCAAUUAUUUUAGGUGGUGGGUUAAGUUGUUGGUUUGAGAUUUUUCUUCUUUUUUGAGGAAGGCUUGUAUUGCUAUGAAUGUCCCUCUAAGUACUGCUUUUGUGGCAUCCCAUAGAUUUUGAGUGGCUGUGUUUUCAUUAUCAUUUAUCUCAAGUAUUUUUUAAAUUUCCAUUUUGAUUUUCUUGUUGACCCACUGGUUUUUUAUUAGCAUGUUGUUUAGUCUCCAUGAGUCAGUUUUUUCUCAUUUCUUUUCCUGUGGUUGAUUUCUAGUUUCAUGCCAUUGCGAAGAUGUGAAAUAAUGUCUAUACUCUUAAAUUUGUUGAGGUUAUUUUUAUGCCCCAGUAUGUAGUCAAUCCUUGAGAAUGUUCUAUGUGCACAAUCAAUAAAACCAAGAGCUGGUUCUUUGAAAGGAUAAACAAAAUUGACAAACCUCUGGCCAGGCUCACCAAGAAGAGGAGAGAAAGAACUCAAAUAAAAUAAGAAAUAAAAAAGGAGGAAUCUCAAUGA
rnacentral:lncRNA from 1 species